AUUCCAGCUCCAAUAGCGUAUAUUAAAGUUGCUGCAGUUAAAAAGCUCGUUGUUGGAUUUGUGGCGCGGCCGUCCGGCGGGGCUCCUUCAUUGGGGCCGUUUGUCUGGUUUUUCGGCCGCUCCAUUCUCGGGUAGUGUGUCGCUGGCAUUAGGUUGUCGGCUUCUUCACGCCCGUCGUUUACUGUGAAAAAAUUAGAGUGUUCAAAGCAGGCUUAGGCCAUUGGAUACAUUAGCAUGGAAUAAUGAGAUAGGGCCACGACGGUCUAUUUUGUUGGUUUGCACGUUGUGGUAAUGAUUAACAGGAACGGUUGGGGGUAUUCGUAUUCAAUUGUCAGAGGUGAAAUUCUUGGAUUUAUGGAAGACGAACUACUGCGAAGGCAUUUACCAAGGAUGUUUUCAUUA
rnacentral:rRNA from 1 species